rnacentral:rRNA from 1 species
ACGCGAAGAACCUUACCUAGCCUUGACAUUGAUAGAAUACCCUAGAGAUAGAGUAGUGCUCUUCGGGGAACUUGAAAACAGGUGCUGCACGGCUGUCGUCAGCUCGUGUCGUGAGAUGUUGGGUUAAGUCCCGCAACGAGCGCAACCCUCGUCCUUAGUUGCCAGCAGGUUAAGCCGGGCACUCUAAGGAGACUGCCUUCGCAAGAAGGAGGAAGGUGAGGACGACGUCAAGUCAUCAUGGCCCUUAUGGCUAGGGCUACACACGUGCUACAAUGGGGCGUACAGAGUGUUGCGAUACCGCGAGGUGGAGCCAAUCACUUAAAGCGUCUCUCAGUUCGGAUUGGAGUCUGCAACUCGACUCCAUGAAGCUGGAAUCACUAGUAAUCGUAGAUCAGCAAUGCUACGGUGAAUACGUUCCCGGGUCUUGUACACACC